rnacentral:rRNA from 1 species
UGGGGAAUAUUGGACAAUGGGGGGAACCCUGAUCCAGCGAUGCCGCGUGUGUGAAGAAGGCCUGCGGGUUGUAAAGCACUUUCAGUUGGGAAGAUAGUUUGUGGGUGAAUAGCCUGCAAAUGAGACGUUACUAACAAAAGAAGCACCGGCUAACUCUGUGCCAGCAGCCGCGGUAAUACAGAGGGUGCGAGCGUUAAUCGGAAUGACUGGGCGUAAAGGGCAUGUAGGCGGUUAUGUUAGUCUGAUGUGAAAUACCCGGGCUUAACCUGGGAUAUGCGUUGGAAACGGCAUAGCUAGAGUAUGGGAGAGGGAAGUGGAAUUUCCGGUGUAGCGGUGAAAUGCGUAGAGAUCGGAAAGAACACUCGUGGCGAAGGCGGCUUUCUGGCCCAUAACUGACGCUGAGGUGCGAAAGCAUGGGGAGCAAACAG